rnacentral:rRNA from 1 species
AUUGAACGCUGGCGGCAUGCCUUACACAUGCAAGUCGAACGGCAGCGGACCUUCGGGUGCCGGCGAGUGGCGAACGGGUGAGUAAUAUAUCGGAACGUACCUUUCAGUGGGGGAUAACGUAGCGAAAGUUACGCUAAUACCGCAUAUUCUGUGAGCAGGAAAGCAGGGGAUCGCAAGACCUUGCGCUGAUUGAGCGGCCGAUAUCAGAUUAGCUAGUUGGUGAGGUAAAGGCUCACCAAGGCGACGAUCUGUAGCGGGUCUGAGAGGAUGAUCCGCCACACUGGAACUGAGACACGGUCCAGACUCCUACGGGAGGCAGCAGUGGGGAAUUUUGGACAAUGGGCGCAAGCCCGAUCCAGCCAUGCCGCGUGAGUGAAGAAGGCCUGG